rnacentral:rRNA from 1 species
AUUGAACGCUGGCGGCAUGCUUUACACAUGCAAGUCGAACGGUAACAGGUCUUCGGAUGCUGACGAGUGGCGAACGGGUGAGUAACACAUCGGAACGUGCCUAGUAGUGGGGGAUAACUACUCGAAAGAGUGGCUAAUACCGCAUGAGAUCUACGGAUGAAAGCAGGGGAUCGCAAGACCUUGUGCUACUAGAGCGGCCGAUGGCAGAUUAGGUAGUUGGUGGGAUAGAAGCUUACCAAGCCGACGAUCUGUAGCUGGUCUGAGAGGACGAUCAGCCACACUGGGACUGAGACACGGCCCAGACUCCUACGGGAGGCAGCAGUGGGGAAUUUUGGACAAUGGCGAAAGCCUGAUCCAGCAAUGCCGCGUGCAGGAUGAAGGCCUUCGGGUUGUAAACUGCUUUUGUACGGAACGAAAAGCUUCGGGUUAAUACCCUGGAGUCAUGACGGUACCGUAAGAAUAAGCACCGGCUAACUACGUGCCAGCCGCCGCCGUAA